UACAGAGGGUGCAAGCGUUGUUCGGAAUUAUUGGGCGUAAAGGGUGCGUAGGCGGUUUUGUAAGUCUUGUGUGAAAUCUUCAGGCUCAACUUGAAGACUGCACGAGAAACUGCAGGGCUUGAGUGUGGGAGAGGUGAGUGGAAUUCCUGGUGUAGCGGUGAAAUGCGUAGAUAUCAGGAGGAACACCUGUGGCGAAAGCGGCUCACUGGACCACAACUGACGCUGAUGCACGAAAGCUAGGGGAGCAAACAGG
rnacentral:rRNA from 1 species